rnacentral:rRNA from 1 species
UACGUAGGGUCCGAGCGUUGUCCGGAAUUACUGGGCGUAAAGAGCUCGUAGGUGGUUUGUCGCGUUGUUCGUGAAAACUCACAGCUUAACUGUGGGCGUGCGGGCGAUACGGGCAGACUGGAGUACUGCAGGGGAGACUGGAAUUCCUGGUGUAGCGGUGGAAUGCGCAGAUAUCAGGAGGAACACCGGUGGCGAAGGCGGGUCUCUGGGCAGUAACUGACGCUGAGGAGCGAAAGCGUGGAGAGCGAAACAGG